rnacentral:rRNA from 1 species
GACGAACGCUGGCGGCGUGCUUAACACAUGCAAGUCGAACGGUGAAGGGACUGGUUUUGCUGGUCCUGGAUGAGUGGCGAACGGGUGAGUAACACGUGAGUAACCUGCCCCCUUCUUCUGGAUAACCGCAUGAAAGUGUGGCUAAUACGGGAUAUUCUGGGUCUGUCGCAUGGUGGGCCUGGGAAAGAUUGCGCCUUUUUUGGUGUUUUUGGUGUGGGAUGGGCUCGCGGCCUCUCAGCUUGUUGGUGGGGUGAUGGCCUACCAAGGCGGUGACGGGUAGCCGGCCUGAGCGGGUGGACGGUCACACUGGGACAGAGACACGGGCCAGACUGCGACGGGAGGCAGCAGUGGGGAAUAUUGCACAAUGGGCGCAAGGCUGAUGCAGCGACGCCGCGUGAGGGAUGGAGGCCUUGGGGUUGUGAACCUCUUUCGCCAGUGAAGCAGGCGUGCCUCUUUUUGUGGGUGGGUUGACGGUAGCUGGAGAAGAAGCGCCGGCUAACUACGUG